rnacentral:rRNA from 1 species
GACGAACGCUGGCGGCGUGCUUAACACAUGCAAGUCGAACGGAAAGGCCCUGCUUGCAGGGUACUCGAGUGGCGAACGGGUGAGUAACACGUGGGUGAUCUGCCCUGCACUUCGGGAUAAGCCUGGGGAACUGGGUCUAAUACCGGAUAGGAGCCAUUUUUAGUGUGAUGGUUGGAAAGUUUUUUCGGUGUAGGAUGAGCUCGCGGCCUAUCAGCUUGUUGGUGGGGUAAUGGCCUACCAAGGCGGCGACGGGUAGCCGGCCUGAGAGGGUGGACGGCCACAUUGGGACUGAGAUACGGCCCAGACUCCUACGGGGGGCAGCAGUGGGGAAUAUUGCACAAUGGGCGCAAGCCUGAUGCAGCGACGCCGCGUGGGGGAUGACGGCCUUCGGGUUGUAAACUCCUUUCGCUAGGGACGAAGCUUUUUGUGACGGUACCUAGAUAAGAAGCACCGGCUAACUACGUG